GGGCAGGCCAGCUAGAGUUUCUGGUCCUGACUCACCUCAGACUCAUGACCCAGCCCUGAUUUUUUUCUGACUUUUAUCCUUUCUGUGAUUCAGCUGCUUUUUCCCUCAAUUGUUUCUUUAUCUUUUCUAAAUCUUGGCUCUGAUUCCAAAGCUCAGAAUCACCCAGCGUUAGCUUUGUCUGAUAUCCUACAUCUAGGGUGCGACCUUUUCCAGUCUGAGGGCCACAUUUCCUUCCGAGAAACCUUCUAGGGGCCACAUGCCAGAAGUGGGUGGGAUCGGGAGCAAAAGUAGGUGGAGAAACAAAUGUUUGUUUUACUUUCUUACAGUAGGCUACUUUUCUACACAUGCAUAGAAAGAUAUAUUCCAACCAGGCAAAAAAACCUCGGGUGCAAAGCAGGGCUAGUGAAGGCUGCAGCCCUGGGAGAAGGGGGGUGGCCUAUAGGCCUGAGGCCCAGUCAGAAAGUCUGGGGUGGGGGCUGCAUUUGGCCCAGAGGCCUGAGGGGUGCCCAUUCUUAUUCCAUAAUUUUUGCAGGCUGAAAAUGAUAGUACUUGCCUAUAGCAGGUGAUUUGUGUUUUUGAUUUUAGCUCCCUGUGUGAUUUUAAAUAAAACAUUUCCUAUCACUGGUGAAAAAGAAAACAGCUUUCUAAUUGAUGGGAGUUGCUGCUGCAUGCUGUGUACUGACAUAAUAUGGCAUUUUACUCUUCAAACAGCUCCAGAAAUGCUGAGAUUUUUUUUUUUUUAAUUCUAACUUUCUUUGGUAAUUAUUUAUGCAGUCUACAGGCCCAAAUGAAACUUCCGGCUUGUACUCAUUGGGUUAUCAAAAUCUGAAAACACAUAGUGUGGGUUUUAACUUUUAGUUAAAAUCUGGGAUCUUACGGUCCCAGGUAAUCCACAAGCAAUCUCCGGUUGGAGCUAUCGCACAUACUUCUCUAGUCAGAGAAAAAUGGAGAUACUGUUCUUCUAGACAGUGAAGUAUUAUCUCUCUUUGAUCUUGCUGCCCUUGUAAAAGUAUACAUUUAAAACUCAAAUGUAUUACAUACAUGUAAUGUAUGCAAGGGACAGCUGGAGCAGAGUGUGCCACACUACCUGGUAUGAACAGGGUCGGUGUCAGGAGUAGCCAUUGCAGGGCACCUGUUGAAAGCCACACAUCUGCAGGGGGCCCAUUGCCCAUCUCUGAGGUCUCCAGAUCUCGGAGCUCCUCCUCUUGCUGCCUGCUCACUCUGAGCAUCCAGGAAUGAUAAGAGGGAGUAGAAAUGGAGACCCCUCCUCUGCUUCCUUCUGGAGAGUUCUGUGGUCUAGGCCCAGAAGGAGAGGUUGAACACAUGGGCAGUGGUGCCUCAGAGAAGGGACCAUACAGAAGCCUCCUCACUCAAGACCUACAGCCAGCAGUUGAUAUGAAGGCAAGACACCCAAAGGCACUGGCAAACCAGAAAAGCUGGCACAUCAUCACAGCCGCCCCCCUCCUCCACUCCAUGGUCAGCUAUCGUCUCAGCAAGAUGCAAUAUUGUUGAGAGAGCAGUAAAGAAGAAUGGAGACGUGCAUAAUAAUAAUAAUAAUAAUAAUAAUAAUAAUAACAACUUAUUAUUUAUGCUCCGCCCAUCUGGCUGAGUUUCCCUAGCCACUCUGGGCAGCUCCCAAUCGAGUGUUAAGAACAAUACAUUAAAUAUUAAAAACUUUUCUAAACAGGGCUGCCUUCAGAUGUCUUUUAAAAAUAGGAUAGCUGCUUAUUCCUUGACAUCUGAUGGGAGGGCAUUCCACAGGGCGGGCGCCAUUACCGAGAAGGCCCUCUGGUUCCCUGUAACCUCACUUCUUGCAAUGAGGGAUCCGCCAGAAGGCCCUCGGCGCUGGACCUCAGUGUCCGGGCUGAAUGAUGGAGGCGGAAACGCUCCUUCAGGUAUACAGGUCUGAGGUCGUUUUGGGCUUUAAAGGUUAGCACCUUGAAUUGUGCUCGGAAAUGUACUGGGAGCCAAUGCAGAUUUCUCAGGACCAGUGUUAUAUGGUCCUGGCAGCCACUCCCAGUCACCAGUCUAGCUGCCGCAUUCUGGAUUAAUUGCAGUUUCCAGGUCACCUUCAAAGGUAGCCCCACGUAGAGCGCAUUGCAGUAGUCCAAGCGGGAGAUAACUAGAGCAUGCACCACUUUGGCAAGACAGUCCGCGGGCAGGUAGGGUCUCAGCCUGCGUACCAGAUGGAGCUGGUAGACAGCUGCCCUGGACACAGAAUUAACCUGUGCCUCUAUGGAGAGUUGUGAGUCCAAAACGACUCCCAGGCUGUGCACCUGGUCCUUCAAGGGCACAGUUACCCCAUUCAGGACCAGGGAGUCCCCCAUGCCCGCCCGCCCCCUGUCCCCCAAAAACAGUAUUUCUGUCUUGUCAGGAUUCAUCCUCAAUCUGUUAGUCGCCAUCCAUCUUCCAACCACCUCCAGGCACUCACACAGCCCUUACUAUCUGAUAAUGUGCAGGAAUGACCCACUCUGUGAAGUGCAGCUGCAGCUGCACGCUGCCUACAGGGAAACAUUGAGCUGUCUGCAAAUAUAAUAAUGUCAUUGGAUUGUGCUGGUAGUUGCUGCUAGAAGCUACUGGCGAGACAUCCCCAUGCACAUCUGAAGUGUAAAAAGCACAGAUUCCAGAAGGCCCCUGUCUAAUAACCCAGAUUUACCUAUACAGAAGCAAUCUCUCUCACUUAGGGUCUUGACAGGAUACAGUGACGAGAACGAAAGUGUCCCAGUGCUUUCUCAUUCAUGUUGAUGGAGAAAGUGGCAUUCUCCCUGCCUUCUUGAAUGACGAUCACUUUGCAAAAGCAUUUGAGCAAAACAUUCCCUCUGUGCCUCGCAUCCAGUUGUUCAGAGUAAUUCUAUGACAAGCAGUUUUCACUGCAGAAAUAUACCUCUCCAAACCCCCUGCCGCUUGCAAUCUCCACAAGUGCUUGGCUUGUUUGUAUGUUUAAAUAGCUUGACUCCCAUGUGGAAGAAACAUUCAGAAUCCAGUGGACAUUAGAAAGUGUUUCCAGAGAUAUUUUAAAAAACUAUAUACCCAAGGGCCGCAAGACGAAGUUGAGAUUAAACAAUUUUUGGCAAAAAAUGGACUAUCUAAACUGUCACAAGAAAAUAGGACAACCCUGAACUCUAAAAUAACACGACAGGAGAUUGAACAAGCUAUUCAGAACAUGCAACUUGGCAAAUCUCCAGGGCCAGACGGGCUGACCUCCAAGUAUUACAAGACAUUAAAAGACUAUUUGAUACAACCCUUGAUGGAGGUUAGCAAUGAAAUUAUGGAGGGGAAGAGGGCACCGGACUCGUGGAAGGAAGCGUUUAUCACAUUGAUACCAAAGUCAGAAACUGAAAAGACACAACUGAAGAACUACCGUCCCAUCUCCCUUUUAAAUGUGGAUUACAAAAUAUUUGCAGAUAUUUUGGCAAGUAGAUUUAAAAAAAAGUUUUAAAUGAAGUAAUUCAUAAGGACCAGGCCGGUUUUCUCCCAGGUAGACAUCUGUUUGCUAACACAAGGAACAUUAUUGAUAUUUUGGAACUUCUCCAAACUGACAUAAAUACAAAAGCAGUUUUAAUUUUUAUAGAUGCGGAGAAGGCCUUUGAUAAUAUUUCUUGGAAAUUUAUGAUGGGAAACUUAAAAGAGAUGGGAGUGGGACGGGGUUUUGAGAAUGGGAUUGAGGCGAUAUACUCAGAACAGAAAGCUAAACUGAUAGUUAAUAAUGUGGUUACAGAAGAGUUCAAAAUUGAAAAAGGGACACGACAAGGUUGACCUUUUUCACCUUUGGUAUUUAUCUAGGUCCUGGAAGUGCUAUUGAACAUGAUUAGAGGGGACCAGUUGGUGGAAGGAAUUCAGGUUGGUCAGAAACAAUAUAAACUAAAAGCUUUCGCAGAUGACCUGGUUUUGACCUUGCAGAAGCCAGAGCCUAGUACGAAAAGAGUAUUACAAUUGAUUAAUGACUUUGGUCGGGUGGCGGGAUUUAAAUUAAAUAAACAGAAAACCAAGGUUUUGGGGAAAAAUUUGACCGAGACAGAGUCAGAACGGUUUCAGAAUGAGACGGAACUUAAUGUGGUUAAAAAAAGUAAAAUACCUAGGGGUAAACAUAACAGCAAAAAAUCUAAGUCUAUUUAAGGAUAAUUAUGAAAAAUGUUGGACAGAAAUUAAGAGAGACUUAGACAGUUGGUCAAAAUUGAAACUUUCUUUGUUAGGCCGAAUUGCUGCGAUUAAGAUGAAUGUAUUGCCAAGAAUGUUGUUUUUAUUUCAAACACUUCAGGUUUUGGACAAAAUGGAGUGCUUUCAGAAGUGGCAGAGAGACAUUUCGAAGUUUGUCUGGCAGGGCAAAAAGCCCAGAAUUAAGUUUAAGAUACUAACUGAUGCAAAACAAAGAGGGGGCUUUGCCCUGCCGGACUUAAGGUUGUAUUAUGAAGCCGCAGCGUUCUGCUGGCUAAAAGAUUGGCUACUUCUUGAAGACACUGAUGUGUUGGAUUUGGAGGGGUUUAACAAUGUUUUUGGAUGGCAUGCAUAUUUAUGGUAUGACAAAGUUAAAGCAAAUAAGGCCUUUAAGAACCAUAUUGUUAGAAAAUCACUGUUUAAUGUCUGGACAAAAUAUAAAGACUUGCUGGAAAAUAAAACACCAAGGUGGCUUUCACCUUUGGAAGCUAAGGCCCGAAAAGACCCAAUAUGGAGGCCAAAUGGCCAAAAUAUUGGGAAAUACUAGAAAAGAUGGAGACAAUUGGAAAUUGCAGAGUUUGGAGAAAAUGAAAGACAAAGUGCGAGAUUGGUUACACUAUGCUCAGAUUAAAGAAGUUUUUAAAAAUGAUAAGAAACUAGGGUUCCAGGUGGAGAAAUCGAAAUUAGAAACAGAAUUGUUAGAACCAAAGACUAAGAUACUUUCAAGGAUGUAUAACUUGCUGUUGGAAUGGAAUACACAAGAUGAAAUGGUCAAAUCGGCUAUGAUAAGGUGGGCACAGGAUAUUGGGCAUAAUAUUAUGUUUGAGGACUGGGAAAGGCUGUGGAGUAAUGGAUUGAAAUUUACUGCAUGUAAUGCUUUGAAAGAAAAUGUAAUGAAAAUGAUUUAUAGAUGGUAUAUGACCCCAGUCAAACUCGCAAAAAUUUACCACCUGUCUGAUAACAAGUGCUGGAAAUGUAAAGAGUGUGAAGGAACGUUCUUUCACCUCUGGUGGACCUGCCCUAAAGUGAAGGCGUUCUGGGAAAUGAUUUAUAAUGAAUUGAAAAAGGUAUUUAAAUAUACUUUCACUAAGAAACCAGAGGCUUUCCUUUUGGGUAUUGUCAGCCAAGGGGUGGCAAAGAAGGACCAGACAUUUUUAUGUAUGCAACAACAGCAGCAAGGAUACUACUCGCAAAACAUUGGAAAACUCAAGAUCUACCCACACUGGAAGAAUGGCAGAUGCAACUGAUAGACUAUAUGCAACUGGCUGAAAUGACUGGCAGAAUCCGUGACCUGGGAGAAGAGAGAAUCGAGGAGGAUUGGAAGAAAUUUAAGAACUAUCUACAAAAACAUUGUGAUUUGACUGAAUGCUGAAUAAGAUGCUAGACUAAAUAACUGAGCACCACUUAACUUAGAAGUUUUUAAGAAAGUAAGAAAAACUGUGAAAGUUUAACUCUUUAUGAGAACUUUAAGAUUAUGAAAUACCAAAGAGAUAUAAGAACUUAAAUAAGAUGAUAAAUUGCUGACAAAAUGUUAUAAUGAUGAAGGUGGGAGCGGGAGGUGUGAGGAAGUCCAAAGAAAAUGUGAAAUUAUGUUAAGACGAAUGUUAUAUUGUUUAUUACACUUAUUCUUAUUGUAAAAUCCAAUAAAUUGCUUUAAAAAAAAAAAAAAAAUAGCUUGACUCCCAUGAACAAAUUAAGGACUCACUUCAAUGAGAUGAAUGCAAGAAAACUGGCUAUGUUCCCAAAGGAUGAUGAGACCCAUCCUCAGAAUCAUGAUAAAACUGUUCUGGACUACAGUUGUACCUCCGCUUACGUAUCUCUCCGUUUACGUAAGCUUUGGGAUAUGUAACCAGCAAACCUGGAAGUAUAUUUCUGGGUUUUUGCCGCACACGCAUGUGCAGAAGCACUGUACCGCCGUGCGUGCGCAGAAGCGGUCCCUCCAGUUGCAGAAACCUCGGGAUCCGACUGGAGCUCUGGAACAGAUCCCGUCCGCAACCGGAGGUACCACUGUAUACCACUUUAUGCUGCUGGUGGAAUUUGAAUGUUCAUCCAUGGGGAUGGGAAGACAUCCUCUGACCAUAGAAAAAUAGCAUGCUGGGAAGAAUAGUUUGCUGUAUGGUCCUUUCUUCCUGAACUGCUAGAUUUCUAUAUGAAGGAAACAUUUUGAAUGUGACAGCAUUCAAACGCUCCAUCUGCAGCUUGAAAUGGUAGUCCAUGAAAAGUUUUACUAGUUGGUUCCAUUGCAUAUAUAACCUUGCCCUAAGGCUGGAGGGUGGCAGUGGAUUGAAUCCAAUUCUGAUUCUUCCUGUGGUUACCCACACCAACUUCCAUAUUGUAACAAAAGCCUAGUGCCUGUCCCUCUCUCUGCCAAGCAGUGGCCGUUCGCUUUGGAGAACAGAAGACAUGGCGGAGACUGUCGUGCUUUAUGAAAUAGGGCUUAUGUACCUAUUUACACCUUCAGUUUGCAAAGAGGGAGUCCAGAUUUUACAGCAUGGUCUACAGCAGUGCAGAGACCUUUCCUGCCUUACUUCCUCCUUCUUCUUCCCAGGAAUCCAUACUUUGAAACUCCCUUUUCCUGCCCCCUUAAACACACAGCCGACAACCUUUGUGACAUCUUACUCCCCAGGUCAAAGGAUCCUUCUAUGGCCCACCAACACAUUUUUAUAAUGCUAACAGAUCUGCUCUUCCCCCAGCCAGCCAGGCUGGUUUACAUAAACCACCCCAGGAAUUUCCUUAAUUCCCUGUCUGGCACAGUUAUGUACUUUAAUCCACAUCCUGAUUCAUCAAAUUCCUAGUAUUUAUUCAUUCCUAGUGUUUAGGGGACACCCCCCCCAAUUCUGAUGCGGGUGGCGCUGUGAUCUAAACCAAUGAGCCUCUUGGGCUUGCCCAUGAAGGUCAAUGGUUCGAAUCCCCGCAAAGGGGUGAACUCCCGUUGCUCGGUCCCUGCUCCUGCCAACCUAGCAGUUCAAAAGCAUUCCAGUACAAGUAGAUAAAUAGGUAGCACUCCGGCGGGAAGGUAAACAGCGUUUCCAUAUGCUGCUCUGGUUUCAGUGUUCUGUUGCGCCAGAAGUGGCUUAGUCAUGCUGGCCACAUGUCCCGGAAAAACUGUCUGUGGACAAACACUGGCUCCCUCAGCCUGUAAAGUGACAUGAGCGCCACGACCCCAAAGUCGUCUGCGACUGGACUUAACUGUCAGGGGUCCUUUACCUUUACCUCCGCCCCCCAAUUCUAUAACAAUAUUGUUCUGGAGUCCCCUGCCCAACCACCUGGAGCAGAUUUUCAUGGGUUGCAGGUCGAAGGGGGAACUAGUAAACAUUUCUUCAUCUCCCCCUUCUGUUAGGGGUCAUGCCUGCUGGGUCAAAAGUCCCUAUGAGAGUGGAAGGUUGCAAUUUGAUGCAAUUAGUUUGAGAAAGGGUUCACUUUCUAUAGUGUACUUUUUUUCUCCCACUAUCGAUUCUGAUCAGAGAAAUUUUGCACAUUGUGUUGUGCAAAAUGUGUUUACCGGAGUAUAUACAGUAUACCACAGGCAGCUACUCCUGUUUCAAAUUUUCUUCAGCUGUUUCAGAAUAUUGUCUGUUUCUACCUUUAUUGCAUGUAGCUGGUGGUUUCCAGCAUAUUCCUCUGUGGGUACCAUGUGUAAUGAGUUCUGCAUCAGAUUGUUCAUAUGCAUCUCCCUUCUUGGAUCAGUGUGACAUUGAGGUGUUGCAGUGCUAUACAAAUGCAAAGUAUUUUUAGGAUUUAUUUGCACACAACAAUCUAUGUCAGGGUGAUGAACUGGAUCUAGCCGGCAGGCAAAAUCCUAGGUUCCCCCACCUUAGGUGGGUCAUUUUGAGAGGUGGGUGGGUCUUGCCCACCUGUCAAUCACCUAACACCACUAUGACUCCAGGCGACCCAUUUUUCCCCUUUGUAAUCCAGCCAAGUGACUUUAAGUUAAUGCCAAUCAGCAACCCUGACUUCAAGCACCUCUUUCUGCAGCGGCAGCUGUGUGGAGUUCCUCAUGACAAACUCAGUAGUUUGUUGAUCCCAGGGAGUUUGAAAUCGGCACUGACUUCAAACUCUGUUCUCAGCUUUCAGCUCGGCUCAGCUGUGCUAUGGAGCUUCCAAAAGCAGUGGAAAUGAGAGUGAGAAGGAGGAAUGCAUCUCUUCAGCUAUUCGCGAGACUGACAAGGAAUGAAAUUGGGUGUGGAGCCAGAAGUCAUAUGUAAAAG
rnacentral:lncRNA from 1 species